rnacentral:rRNA from 1 species
UACACUCCUGCGGGAGGCAGCAGUGAGGAAUAUUGGACAAUGGGUGGAAGCCUGAUCCAGCCAUCCCGCGUGCAGGAAGACGGCCCUAUGGGUUGUAAACUGCUUUUAUCUGGGGAUAAACCUACUUACGUGUAAGUAGCUGAAGGUACCAGAAGAAUAAGCACCGGCUAACUCCGUGCCAGCAGCCGCGGUAAUACGGAGGGUGCAAGCGUUAUCCGGAUUUAUUGGGUUUAAAGGGUCCGUAGGCGGACUGAUAAGUCAGUGGUGAAAUCCGACAGCUUAACUGUCGAACUGCCAUUGAUACUGUUAGUCUUGAGUAAGGUUGAAGUGGCUGGAAUAAGUAGUGUAGCGGUGAAAUGCAUAGAUAUUACUUAGAACACCAAUUGCGAAGGCAGGUCACUAAGUCUUAACUGACGCUGAUGGACGAAAGCGUGGGGAGCGAACAGGAUUAGAAACCCCAGUAGUCCCAUGAU